rnacentral:rRNA from 1 species
AUUGAACGCUGGCGGCAGGCCUAACACAUGCAAGUCGAGCGGGGUUUUCGGACCUAGCGGCGGACGGGUGAGUAAUGCGUAGGAAGCUGCCCGAUAGAGGGGGAUACCAGUUGGAAACGACUGUUAAUACCGCAUAAUGUCUACGGACCAAAGUGUGGGACCUUCGGGCCACAUGCUAUCGGAUGCGCCUACGUGGGAUUAGCUAGUUGGUGAGGUAAUGGCUCACCAAGGCGACGAUCUCUAGCUGGUUUGAGAGGAUGAUCAGCCACACUGGAACUGAGACACGGUCCAGACUCCUACGGGAGGCAGCAGUGGGGAAUAUUGGACAAUGGGCGCAAGCCUGAUCCAGCCAUGCCGCGUGUGUGAAGAAGGCCUUCGGGUUGUAAAGCACUUUCAGCGAGGAGGAAGAGGUGUGUGUUAAUAGUACACACCUUUGACGUUACUCGCAGAAGAAGCACCGGCUAACUCUGUGCCAGCAGCCGCCGCCGUA